AUUUUUAUUUGUGUUAUGAAUUUUCGUUUGAUUCUUUUUCCUUGACUGAAUUCUCCACUUGAUUUGAGUAUGCGAAAGAAAAAAUUUGUCCCAACUAGUCUUGCUUGUGGCUUAUCAUUGCCAAGUGCCUGGGCACACACCAGUUCUGUAAUUUGGUAAAAAUAAGCAAGGCCAUUAUAGAAGAGUUAUCAGAGGGUGAUGAGAAGUAGUAUAAUUUUAUCAAUAAUUACAUUGCUAUGCAGGGUGAUAAGUAUCUUUAUCAAACUGGCACCUAUGUAUGCUUAACUUUUUCAGGAGGACUUCUUAAAUCCAGACGAGUCAUAUAGUCCUCGGAGCCUGCCCGGAACACAGCCAUGCUGCCAUGCGUGGGAAGACGAGAUGGUGCGCUUCCACACCACACCGAAAGGUGAAUGCAGUGAAACCUUGCAGUGCCUUGUGUGCAGCAGGACAAGACACAGAGCCAGUCAGCACCCCUGUGAGGCUGCUCAGUUGCAUAGAAUCACGCAUGCCCCUCCAGUCUGAAUAUGGAACAGCACUAAUUAGGACUUGGACAAUAAAAGCCUUGGCCAAAGACCACAAGGACUUCACAUACCUGCAGAAAUGGGGAGAGCUGGGGAAGAUUACUAGGCUGUGUAACAGUCUAAAGAAGAUCAGCCUUGAACACUCAAAGAAAAAUCUGCCUGCUCUGAAUAUUGCCUGA
ensembl:lncRNA